rnacentral:rRNA from 1 species
CACGUAGGGGGCAAGCGUUGUCCGGAAUUAUUGGGCGUAAAGAGCUCGUAGGUGGUUUGUUACGUCUGCUGUGAAAACCUAGGGCUUAACCCUGGGCUUGCAGUGGAUACGGGCAGACUAGAGGUAGGUAGGGGAGAAUGGAAUUCCUGGUGUAGCGGUGAAAUGCGCAGAUAUCAGGAGGAACACCGGUGGCGAAGGCGGUUCUCUGGGCCUUACCUGACACUGAGGAGCGAAAGCGUGGGGAGCAAACGGG